rnacentral:rRNA from 1 species
AGAUUGAACGCUGGCGGCAGGCCUAACACAUGCAAGUCGAGCGGCAGCACGGGUACUUGUACCUGGUGGCGAGCGGCGGACGGGUGAGUAAUGCCUAGGAAUCUGCCUGGUAGUGGGGGAUAACGCUCGGAAACGGACGCUAAUACCGCAUACGUCCUACGGGAGAAAGCAGGGGACCUUCGGGCCUUGCGCUAUCAGAUGAGCCUAGGUCGGAUUAGCUAGUUGGUGAGGUAAUGGCUCACCAAGGCGACGAUCCGUAACUGGUCUGAGAGGAUGAUCAGUCACACUGGAACUGAGACA